CUCCCCCCCCGCCUCUCUCUCUCUCUCUCUCUCUCUCUCUCUCUCUUCCUUCGAGCUCAGAUCGUCGGUGAAGCGCCGCUGCCCCGGCCUCGUCGCCUCCGCCAUCUCCUGCUUCACCCCUCGCCGCGACUUUAGCCUCCGCCCGCCACCAAUUCCUUCAAAGCAGAAGAGGAUGAGUGCGGCGGCGCUUCGAGUUCCGCGAGGUUUUCCCCCUUUACCGCCAGCGAUUCAGCGUCCUUGUUGCCGAUUUUCAAUUUUCCGGUCAUCUUCUACGCAGAUCUAGGGUUGAGCUUGAAGUGGAGGCACGGCGGUGGCACAAUUCAGAGGUGAGAAAUUUCUGGCGAAGCCUUUCUCUCUCUGGCGGUGGUGGUUCUUCAAUUGGGACUUCCUCUCACAUUGGCUGCUCCUGAUUACCCCUUGGACUUAAGCCGGUCUAAUUUUACACUAGCCGCCUCCCUGUGCUCCAAUCUGGCAGAGAGAGGGAGGUGUCGUUCAGGCGGAUGACGCCGCUGGAGGAGGACAACUGGAGGGUCGAGAGCGCCGCCGUGAUGGAGUUUGAGGAUGACCCGCACGGUGUCGAAAUACAGAGGAGGCAUAGGAGAAGGAGUUUGUAGCGGGAGCCAUCGCUUCCAGACUGCUAAAUUAAUUGCUCUGAUUUGGUUUUUGUGUGUAAAGUAGUAACUAAAAUGAAUUCAAGAAUUUAUAUAAUUCUGUCCUUGAUCC